rnacentral:tRNA from 1 species
CUUUUUGUUUGCUUUGCAAUCCUAGCUUACUUUCGUUUAUACUGUGUAGCCAUAUGAAUCUCUCACUCAAACUUCCAGGGCCUUUUGGGGAAAAAUGAGAAGCUAAUGGGGCUUCCCUGGUAGCUCAGCUGGUAAAGAAUCUGCCUGCAAUGCAGGACACCCAGGUUCGAGCCCUGGGUUGGGAAGAUUCCCUGAAGAAAGGGAUAGGCUACCCACUCCAGUAUUCUUGGGCUUCCCUGGUGGCUCAGCUGGUAAAGAAUCCACCUGCAAUGCGGAAGAAGCUAAUGAGAGCUUUCUGUACAGUGAGUGGGGAGCAGAGGGGCCUGACUGUUUAAAUUAUUUACCCUGGAGAUAUUCAACAUCUACAACCUCACAUUAGAACCUUCUGCUCAAUGGGCAGAUCUCCCUGCCUACCCCUCCCUCACCAGCAUGAAUCACGAGGAGGCCCAGAACUACUUUAGCUGGGGGAGGGGGCGCUGGUGUGGUCCUGGAAUAUCCCAGGAGAGGUCACCAACUCAGUGCAUCCUGCUUCAGCUCCAGCACUUCCAGCUGACAUCCAUCCUGGGGUCCAAGGUGGAAGUUCUGAAGCAGUCGGAGAGUCUGAGGGACUCCUGAAGUGGCUUCCGGGCCACAAAGCUCAGUCCAGCCGCCAGUCUGAAGACAAGCCCAUCUCCGC